rnacentral:rRNA from 1 species
CUACGGAACUCCUACGGGAGGCAGCAGUGGGGAAUAUUGGACAAUGGGCGAAAGCCUGAUCCAGCCAUGCCGCGUGUGUGAAGAAGGUCUUCGGAUUGUAAAGCACUUUAAGUUGGGAGGAAGGGCAUUAACCUAAUACGUUAGUGUCUUGACGUUACCGAAAGAAUAAGCACCGGCUAACUCUGUGCCAGCAGCCGCGGUAAUACAGAGGGUGCAAACGUUAAUCGGAAUUACUGGGCGUAAAGCGCGCGUAGGUGGUUUGUUAAGUUGAAUGUGAAAUCCCCGGGCUCAACCUGGGCACUGCAUCCAAGACUGGCAAGCUAGAGUAUGGUAGAGGGUAGUGGAAUUCCCUGUGUAGCGGUGAAAUGCGUAGAUAUAGGAAGGAACACCAGUGGAGAGGGCGACUACCUGGACUGAUACUGACACUGAGGUGCGAAAGCGUGGGGAGCAAACAGGAUUAGAAACCCUGGUAGUCCUCUUCGA